UUUUGUGACUUUAUUCUCUCUACAGUUCCCGUUGCACCAGGCAGCGUCUUGUGAGCAAAUGUCCAUCUCUGCUCGCGCAGAGGCACGUCUCAAUACUUCUGGACAGAGAAGUUCGGGCUAGAAAGGCCAUCGCUAUGAAAUACCCCAAAUGGACCCCCCCCCCCAGGCCACAGCAAGCCCCUGCCCCGGGGAAGUUGAAAGGGCAAGACGAUCAGUGAUCGCUAAUGUGGCACAAGUAUUGCUGGGACACGGAGCUCCUGUCACUCUCUCGGUGGUGCACGUCCACUCCUUCCUUGUGACCGCAGCCAGCGCCGAGAGCAGCUCCCUGCGCUCAUCCAACCGCCCCCCCCCUUUCCAAGCACCCCCAGGCCACGCGCCAGUGCUCCGGCCGCGGUGUUGGGCCGACCCCGGCAUGCCCCCAGCUCAGGCUGAGGGAGAGGCCCGGGGCAGCCAACCUGUUGCCAGCCUUUCCCUGCGCUUCUGCGGGGCUGGCUGCAGAGGCCCAGGCAAGGCGGCCAGUGGGCGCGGCACGGAGCAGCCCCGGGCCGCCCAUUAGCCGCUGCAGCAGGGGAGCGGGUCCGCAGGGAGCCCUCGCCUGCAGCACGCCGCCUGUGUGGGGCGCCUCCAGCCCCGCGGGCCCGCCUGGGAGCAGCCCGGAGCGCUGGGUUUCCUGCCUGGGCAAGGAAGUGAAUAUCCAGAUCAAGACGCAUCACAACAGACGUAGAUGACAAUACAACUCCCUUCAAGCUUUGCCAAAAUGUAAAUCCAUCCCAGAGUGAAUGCACAUCUGCUGGGGUCCUGUGUGGACUAGGAAAACUAGGGUGACAAAGAAAUACAGGACAUAGGCAGCUCUUUCUGUGAUGCUGGUAAUCUUUUCAGCCACUUCUGAAGUGAAAUAACAGUUUAUGACGAGAAGGUUGUUGGGCUAGAUUCUCUGCUGGUGUAACUCCACUGACUUCAAUGCAUGCCUAUCACGAGAGAGUUUGAAAUCUCCUUGUUGCAACUGGUGGUGGAAUUGUGGAGAAACAGGACACAGCUACCCAAACUGGAAUUUAUCUAAGGCACGAGGGAUGAGGCCAUAAUCUUGCAAGUACCACUAUGACCACAAAUGCCUCAAAUCCUGUAUGAUAAAAAUAAACUUCCUUUCCCAACAGCACACUGUGGGCACUAGUUCAAUAACAGACCCAUUGGGGGAGACUGUUGUCUACAUGAUCAUCAGACUUGCUUUCUGCAGCACUUAAGGUUUCUUUCUUUCUUUCUUCUGUUAUUUUAGGCUUUCUUGCCACAUACAGACCAGUCUCACCUAAGCUCCAGUCCUGUAAACACUUAAGCACAUGUGUAACUUUACUCACUGAGUACAGUUUCUCACCUGCUGAAGUAUUUGCAGGAUCUGGCCCUUAGAAUAUGUUAUCUGACAAGAUCACAAGUUGAGAUUUGUACAAUGUAAAUGGUUUGUUUUGAAAAUUUCUGUUGCGCAGACUAGCAAGCACCCAUCUUUCUCUGCCUGGUGAUACAGAGGUCUAGUACUUUGGUUUCAGUUUGCAGUUACCACAGAAGACUCUGAUUAUUCAGUUUUACCAAUAUUUUAUAUUUUGAAAUAUGAACUUAUUCUGUAAUUGAAAACUUCUAACAUGAUCAAGACCUCUUCAUAGCACGGGAGCCAGCAGGUCCUUUCACAAUUCUUUACCCGAUGAAUUUAUUUUGUGUGAGUGUGUUUUUGUUGGGAAUGGUUAACUGUAAGUUCUCCUGUUCUCUCCUGAUUCGUAUCAAUUUCUUUGUUUUAUUCUCUGGAGGCAACAAAAUAUUAAAAUUAAAGAAGAAAAAAGCUUCAAGAAAAAACUAUGUUGUGUCAACAUCUUGGAAAAGAUCUUAGAGAACGUUUUAUUGUAAAAAGUUUUUAAUAAGGACUUUUAAAUACUGAUAAUUUAUCUCAUCUAAACACUGAAGAUAGUAAUCCUGAAGUAGAGCUCCCUGGGUGAUGAAUCAAUAUAUAUACCCCUAAGGCAAGAGAAAGUUUCAUAUGGGGACAUAAAUUGAAUAACAUACAAGGAAAACCCAUAGUUUUAGCAACACUUAUGUCUCUGCAUUACACUAAAGAUAGACACAGGCCACAUUUUGCAUUGUCUUGCAGCCACAGGAUCUCACAGGGGUUAUAUGGGUGUAAAUCAGCAUAAAAUUUGGCCCUUAUUUCUCCUGUGCCACAAAUUUUCCCUCAUCUCAUGCCUGGAAAAGCAGCUAAUUCUCUCACUGUCACGUUAAAAAUAACACUUAGAAAAGCAACAGUUUAUGCUAAUAACACGAGUUAAGCUUGAUGUGAAUGCCCCCAACCAACAGCCUUAACAGCAUGGAAGCUGAAGUGCAAUCUACAGACUGCAUGUGACAACCAAAGAUAGAGGAUUUUGAAAUGACUAGGAGGGAGGCAGGGCAUUCUUCCAGGAUCUAUUGGCACCCUACAGUAUUAAAAGAAACACACAAAAAUUAUAUAUGGAAACUACCCACAAAGGUAGCUUAGUGGCCCAUUGGUGCUAUGACUGUUGCUUGGCAUAAAUCUGCAUCCUAAAGCAGCCAUAUUUAGGUUCUUUAAAAGCCAUGGAGUCAUAGAAUUUUAGGCCAGAAGGGACCAGCAGAUCAUUUAAUCUGACUGCCUGUAUAUCACUGGCCACCACCUCCACCCAGCAGCUGCACACUGAAUCCAGCAACUGAAAUUAGAUCAAGAUAUUAACAGUCCUCAGGAGACCAAACCAAUACACGUCACAGGCAGAGAAUAGAAGGGACCCCAGAUGGACCAAUGCUCAAGGCAAUGGCAGGGAACUGAGCUAUUCCAAGAUGAUCAUGGCAAACAACUUGCACACCAGGCUGCAGAGGAAGAUGAAGCCCCCAGAAGGUCACUGCCAAUCUGAUCUGAGGAAAAAUUCCUUCCUGACCUCACACAUGGCAAUCAGUUAGACCCUGAGCAUAUGAGCAAGAACCAGGCAGCAAAGCACCCGAGAGAGAGAGAAUGCUCAGUAUCACAUCAGAGCACGAGCACACCCCGUACAAUGUCCCAUCUCCAGCUAUGGCCAGAUAAUAUAAACUUGCCUGACACCAUGCUCUGACAGUCAGUGAACCUGAAAUGGGGCAGACUGCCAAGGGAAGCUGAAUUCCACAAAUAAGGCUACUCUGUUGAGGAUCCCCAUCUGCUUUUCCAAGUGUCCUCCAGGUCAGGGGCAUAAUUUUGGGAAAAAAAUAUAUGGGGGUUGGGGGGCAAAGUUGUGUCAGCAUAUAGAACAUUAUAUGUGAUUAUAUUAUAUUCCUGAAAUAUAUUUAUAUGGGAAGCACAAAGUAGAAAAUAUAAUGAAGAAUAUAGACCUAUGAAAAUUCGGGAGGGGCAAACCAAUAACUGGGGUGGGCAACUGCCCCUCUUAACCCAUAGCACAUGAUGCCCCUGCUCAAGUGAUGUCUGUGUUUGUUAUAAGGUACUUUUUGUUUGUAACACU